AUACUCAGCUUCCCUUACGAUCACCGAAGUUAAGCAAUGUCAACGCUGGUCAGUUCUUUGAUGGGUGACUGCUUGGGAAUACCAGGUGCUGUAAG